CUGAUCUGAAGUGAUCUGCCCACCUCGGCUUCCCAAAGUGCUGGGAUUACAGGCGUGAGCCACUGCGCCUGGCCCCUUCAGGUGGGUAUUGAGGCUUCACUACAAUACUAGUUCCCCGUUGCUGCCGCAAUAAAUUACCACACACUUAGUGGCUUAAAACAGCACAGAGGUAUUCCUUUACAUUUCUGAAGGCCAGAAUUCUAAAGUCAGUCCCACUGAGUCAACGUGGGAGCAGGGUCAGUGCCUUCCCAGGCUCUGCGGGAGAAUCUGUUUCCUGGCCCUGGAGGCGGCCUGUACUCCUCAGCUUGUGCUGCCCUUCUCGAAUGACUCGCGUUUCCUGCUUUCAUCACUACACCUCCCACCGCUCUCCAUCACCUGCUCUGCUCUUAUAAGGAUCCAGUUUUCAGAAAAAUGGAAUAGUCGUAUCACUGAUCUACGUAAACAAGUUGAAGAAUUGUCUGAAAGAAAAUACAGUGUGUCUAAACUGGAAAAGUCCUGUAAUAGUUUGUUCAUGAGCAUUUACACAAUGGAGUUGCUGUUUCAUCAUGGGGGUACUGUGGACAAACCCAGGGCUGCUGACAUGAACUUAUGAAUUCAACACAUGAAGAUUUACAGCUUGACAAACCAGCUUCAGGAGGGAUUGUGCUGCAUUCGAACAUAGGUUCUGCCAUCAAACACAGAAUGCCCUGAUCCUUAGAGGCAGAGGCAGCUCUUCAGCCUAUGGGGGAGGCAGACCAGUUUUACAAAUAGCUGCUGGCCUGGAGAAUAACAGUUUCUACCAACUCAAGCUGUUGGACUCGCCGAGGCAGUAAAAGUACCAUAUCCUGUGUUUGAAUCAAACUCCAAUUUCCUGUAUAUAGAAGGCUUGCCAGACAGGAUUCCCUUCCGAAGCCCUACCUGGUUUGGAAUUCCAUGACUUGAAAGGAUCCUUCGUGGGAGUAAUAAAAUCAAGUUUGUUGUUAAAAACUUUGCAGUCCCCAAAAAAACCAUGAAGCCCUGAGAGUAAUGAAAAGCUUCCUGACAUUGAGGUCACUGUGGAAGAACCACCUAAGCUAAAGAUUCUUUUGAGAACAAGGGCUAGCCUGUGGUUUCAUGGCCUUUCUUCCAUUUGGGGUUCUUGCCAAGUGGAAUUUAAAUGACCUCUUAUCAAGAUGGAUAAACCCAAGUUUCCCAGUGCUGGAAUACAGAAAAUGGAUGGACAAGAUGUCUUUUUGUCACUUCCAGCUGGAUCUACCAUGAAAGACGUCAGAGUCCAGGAAGAGAGACUGACUGGGCAACAUGUUAUUCAGAAUUAGAGAAGAUGAUGUGGUGAUGGAAGAAGAGGUCAGAGAGGGAGAUUUGAAGAUGUUGCAGUUCUGGCCUUCAAGAUGGAGUCAGGGGCUAUCUUCAAGAGAGAAGAUCUUGAUCUGUGGCCCAGGCUGCAGUACAGU
rnacentral:lncRNA from 1 species